AGUUUGAUCCUGGCUCAGGACGAACGCUGGCGGCACGCCUAACACAUGCAAGUCGAACGGAGAUUACUUAGCUUGCUUUGUAAUCUUAGUGGCGGACGGGUGAGUAACACGUGAGCAACCUGCCUCUGAGAGAGGGAUAGCUUCUGGAAACGGAUGGUAAUACCUCAUAACGUAGAUGAGCCGCAUGACUUAUCUACCAAAGAUUUAUCACUCAGAGAUGGGCUCGCGUCUGAUUAGGUAGUUGGUGAGGUAACGGCUCACCAAGCCGACGAUCAGUAGCCGGACUGAGAGGUUGAACGGCCACAUUGGGACUGAGACACGGCCCAGACUCCUACGGGAGGCAGCAGUGAGGGAUAUUGCACAAUGGAGGAAACUCUGAUGCAGCGAUGCCGCGUGGAGGAAGAAGGUUUUCGGAUUGUAAACUCCUGUUUCGAGGGACGAUAAUGACGGUACCUCGGGAGGAAGCUCCGGCUAACUACGUGCC
rnacentral:rRNA from 1 species